rnacentral:rRNA from 1 species
GUUGAACGCUGGCGGCAGGCCUAACACAUGCAAGUCGAAUGGUAACAGGAAACAGCUUGCUGUUUCGCUGACGAGUGGCGGACGGGUGAGUAAUGUCUGGGAAACUGCCUGAUGAAGGGGGAUAACUACUGGAAACGGUAGCUAAUACCGCAUAACGUCGCAAGACCAAAGAGGGGGACCUUCGGGCCUCUUGCCAUCAGAUGUGCCCAGAUGGGAUUAGCUAGUAGGUGGGGUAACGGCUCACCUAGGCGACGAUCCCUAGCUGGUCUGAGAGGAUGACCAGCCACACUGGAACUGAGACACGGUCCAGACUCCUACGGGAGGCAGCAGUGGGGAAUAUUGCACAAUGGGCGCAAGCCUGAUGCAGCCAUGCCGCGUGUAUGAAGAAGGCCUUCGGGUUGUAAAGUACUUUCAGCGGGGAGGAAGGGAGUAAAGUUAAUACCUUUGCUCAUUGACGUUACCCGCAGAAGAAGCACCGGCUAACUCCGUG